rnacentral:rRNA from 1 species
GGGCACGACACCGGAGAGGGAGCCUGAGAAACGGCUACCANNNNNNNGGAUGGCAGCAGGCGCGCAAAUUACCCAAUCCCGACACGGGGAGGUAGUGACAAUAAAUAACAAUACGGGGUUCUUUAGGAUCUCGUAAUUGGAAUGAGUACAAUUUAAAUCUCUUAACGAGGAACAAUUGGAGGGCAAGUCUGGUGCCAGCAGCCGCGGUAAUUCCAGCUCCAAUAGCGUAUAUUAAAGUUGUUGCAGUUAAAAAGCUCGUAGUUGAAUUUCGGGGUUAGUAGGUUGGUCAUGCCUCUGGUAUGUACUGGUCUCACUGAUUCCUCCUUCCUGAUGAACCGUAAUGCCAUUAAUUUGGUGUUGCGGGGAAUUUGGACUGUUACUUUGAAAAAAUUAGAGUGUUUAAAGCAAGCUAACGCUUGAAUACAUUAGCAUGGAAUAAUGAAAUAGGACGUUCGAUCCUAUUUUGUUGGUUUCUAGGAUUGACGUAAUGAUUAAUAGGGAUAGUUGGGGGCAUUAGUAUUCAAUUGUCAGAGGUGAAAUUCUUGGAUUUAUUGAAGACUAACUACUGCGAAAGCAUUUGCCAAGGAUGUUUUCAUUAAUCAAGAACGAAAGUUAGGGGAUCGAAGACGAUCAGAUACCGUCGUUGUCUUAACCAUAAACUAUGCCGACUAGGAAUCAGACGAUGUUAAUUUUUUAAUGACUCGUUUGGCACCUUACGGGAAACCA